rnacentral:rRNA from 1 species
AGCUCACUGGUCGAGUCGGCCUGCGCGGAAGAUGUAACGGGGCUAAACCAUGCACCGAAGCUGCGGCAGCGACGCUUAUGCGUUGUUGGGUAGGGGAGCGUUCUGUAAGCCUGUGAAGGUGUGCUGUGAGGCAUGCUGGAGGUAUCAGAAGUGCGAAUGCUGACAUAAGUAACGAUAAAGCGGGUGAAAAGCCCGCUCGCCGGAAGACCAAGGGUUCCUGUCCAACGUUAAUCGGGGCAGGGUGAGUCGACCCCUAAGGCGAGGCCGAAAGGCGUAGUCGAUGGGAAACAGGUUAAUAUUCCUGUACUUGGUGUUACUGCGAAGGGGGGACGGAGAAGGCUAUGUUGGCCGGGCGACGGUUGUCCCGGUUUAAGCGUGUAGGCUGGUUUUCCAGGCAAAUCCGGAAAAUCAAGGCUGAGGCGUGAUGA